CUGCCAAUCAUGGCAGAUUACAUGAAUGAUUCUGUGGAGGCUAAAACAAGAUUGCUGAACUCAUUUUCAUGCAUGACUAAACACCGAAUUGAACCUCGUGCUCCAGAAGUGAAAGAAUCGAUUCUACCUGUGUCCUUACUGACAAAUUCGUUUCAUCUGUUCCUAAAGCUUUCAGUGAUGGAGUCUCAACAGCAUCCAUGCCUGGCUUGAGAAGGGGGUUCUGACUAACAGAAACGCUGAGUACCUACAGAUGCAACUGAAGUUGUUGUGGGCUGCUCUUACAGCAUGCAAUGUGCUUGGAGCUGGUAAAGGCUUUUAAAAAAUCAGCAUAA